GCGAGACUGAGCCGAGGCUCCCCUAUUGUUUUCUCAUUAGUGAGCUGUAUAUGUGACUCUGGAUUCAAGCUGUUUCUGAGCAAGGCGCGCGCCAUCAGUAUGCAAGGCCUAUAGAGACGAGCAGCUUAGUGCUUAUUAUUGCAAUGACACCUAGCAGAAAGGCUGUCUCAGGGUGACGACUUCUGAAACUGAACGCACAGUGGAACCUCUGAUCUCAACAUUUCGGAGACAUCCUGUUGGGCUGCAAAAUUAAACCACUGGAAGUUGGGGUCAAAAGGAGUUUCUUUCAACCUACCAGGAGAGAUUAAGACUAAAUGAGUGAAAAUUUUAAGGAAAUGGUGGCGUUGUUGCGGCAUGGCUCCCAGGAUCUGACCGCUGAGUGAAGACGUCAGUCAGUGGACACUGACGGCAGCGGAGAAGAGCUUGGAGGGACAGAAAGACAGAUGAAAGGAUGGACUCUGACCUUCCCCCUAUCCGUUCAAUUCCCCCUGAAUAGUUUCACAAAACCAGCACAAAGUGAUUGGUGAUUCACCAGAGAUUUAUGCCCUAAACACUAAACAUGGAGGACAUGGUGGCCAAAUCAGGGAAUCAAGCUGUGAUCUUUGUCAGUCAGAUAUCUGAGAGAAACAAAACUGAAAAAUUAGUGAAGUGAGCAGAUGAGCUCAGAUAAAUAAAACUAUAAAAUAGCUAUUUUGACACAAAGAUUUAAAGGGUUGUAUCUGUAUUACACUUAAUAA